rnacentral:piRNA from 1 species
UGCACUGUAUUGUCUCCAAAA